CAGUAGCCACGGGAAUACGUAGGUGGCAAGCGUUGUCCGGAUUUAUUGGGCGUAAAGCGAGCGCAGGCGGUUUCUUAAGUCUGAUGUGAAAGCCCCCGGCUCAACCGGGGAGGGUCAUUGGAAACUGGGAGACUUGAGUGCAGAAGAGGAGAGUGGAAUUCCAUGUGUAGCGGUGAAAUGCGUAGAUAUAUGGAGGAACACCAGUGGCGAAGGCGGCUCUCUGGUCUGUAACUGACGCUGAGGCUCGAAAGCGUGGGGAGCGAACAGGAUUAGAUACCCGCGUAGUCCCUGUCUCUUAUAC
rnacentral:rRNA from 1 species